CUUGAUCGAGCCGAGCCACAGCGGGCGGUCGGCGGGCCGGCCCCGUCCGUAGGUCGCCAGCAGCGCCUGCGCCUC
rnacentral:antisense_RNA from 1 species